rnacentral:rRNA from 1 species
GACGAACGCUGGCGGCGUGCUUAACACAUGCAAGUCGAACGGAAAGGCCCUGCUGGCUGCGUACUCGAAUGUCAAACGCGUGAGUAACACGUGGGUGAUCUGCCCUUCCCUUCGGGAUAAGCCUGGGAGACUGGGUCUAAUACCGGAUAGGAGUCAGUUCUAGUGUGAGGGUUGGAAAGAUAUUUCGGUGUAGGAUGAGCUGGAGGCCUAUCAGCUUGUUGGGGGGGUAAUGGCCUACCAAGGCGGCGGCGGGUAGGCGGCCUGAGAGCGUGGACAGGCACAAUAGGACUGCGGUACGCACCAGAGUGCAACGGGAGGCGAUAGUGGGGAGUAUGGCGCAAUGAGGGCAAGCCUGAUGUAGCGGCGCCGGGGGUGGGAUGACCGGCUUAGGGUGGUGAACUCCUUUCGCGCGGGACGAAGCAUUUUGUGACGGUACCUAGAGAAGAAGCACCGGCUAACUACGUG